rnacentral:rRNA from 1 species
GAUGAACGCUGGCGGCGUGCCUAAUACAUGCAAGUCGAGCGAACGGACGAGAAGCUUGCUUCUCUGAUGUUAGCGGCGGACGGGUGAGUAACACGUGGAUAACCUACCUAUAAGACUGGGAUAACUUCGGGAAACCGGAGCUAAUACCGGAUGAUAUUUUUAACCGCAUGGUUCAAAAGUGAAAGACGGUCUUGCUGUCACUUAUAGAUGGAUCCGCGCUGCUUUAGCUAGUUGGUAAGGUAACGGCUUACCAAGGCAACGAUGCAUAGCCGACCUGAGAGGGUGAUCGGCCACACUGGAACUGAGACACGGUCCAGACUCCUACGGGAGGCAGCAGUAGGGAAUCUUCCGCAAUGGGCGAAAGCCUGACGGAGCAACGCCGCGUGAGUGAUGAAGGUCUUCGGAUCGUAAAACUCUGUUAUUAGGGAAGAACAUAUGUGUAAGUAAAUGUGCACAUCUUGACGGUACCUAAUCAGAAAGCCACGGCUAACUACGUG